rnacentral:lncRNA from 1 species
AGAGAUUCAAUGGUGUCAAUCAUCAAUUGGAGGAUAACAUUUGUUGAAAAGAUGAAGAAAUUGAAGAAAGAAGUCAAGAGAAGCAACAAGGAAAGUUCAGGGACCAAAAUGUAAAGACUUCAUAGUUGGUUAGUCUAUGCGACCGCAUAGUGUAACCAUCUAUGCAGUCGCAUAGAUGGUUGCAGGAAAUUUUGGGGGAAAAUUUAUUGGUCUAUGCGACCGCAUAGAAACCUUCUAUGCGGUCGCAUAGUGAUACUUCGGGGGCCUCCGUUGCAGUUUUUUAUUUUCGUUGAAACUCUUUUCCUACUUGAUUUUGACG